rnacentral:lncRNA from 1 species
AGGGUUUUCAGCUGGGAGAGGACCACAUGGCCUCUGUACAGCUGUUUAUGGGUUCUUUCUAACUGGAUGUGAAGCACUGAGUUCUAGAAUUCUUGGAAGACUGCCUUUUCCUCUAAGCCUGACUAAGGUCAAGUCCACCUACAACUUCAUAUAAACGUCUUUGGGCCACGUUUACAGGAAAAGACCAUCCACUGGUUGGACCGAACGACUGAAACUUUUGAACUGUUUCCACACGUAGCGGAAUGUGGUUUGCUGGGAUUCGCCCACUUAGCAGCCAGUCACUAAGGCAUUUGUUGGAAAUGAGUAAG